rnacentral:lncRNA from 10 species
GUGGAAGGCAGUUGAUUAUGGGGGUGGUUUCCCCAUGCUGUUCUCAUGAUAGUGAGUGAGUUCUCAUGAGAUUUGACAGUUUAUAACGGACAUUUCCCCGCUUUGCUUGACACUUCUCCAUUGUGCUGCCAUAUGAAGAAGGACGUGUUUGCUUCCCCUUCCACCAUGAUUUUUAGUUUACUGAGACCUUCCCAACCCUGCAGAACUGGCCUGACUACCAUGUUUGUGUGCUAACAAGUUGGACUUCCAUGGCCUCCUGGAUACUGGUGGAAGACAUGAGAUUCCCAGGUUGGAAAUUACAUGCUUCAUAUCUAGGUUCUCAAUUAUGCCUGCUUCAAUUUCUGGAUUUUCAUCAUUCAAGAAAUGACUCAAUAAAUCCUUGCUUGGAUUUCAAUAACUACCCCAGAAAUGUUUAUUUAUGUCUUUGAUAUUUUCUUAAAAUACACUUAGAAUAGCCUCCAUGUUCUACUCUGUGUCUCUGAUUGAUAUCAUUAUAGGCCAAGUAACCACAUAAGAUGAUGAUCUUAACAUUUUAACUCCUAUAUACAGACCUGAGCAUAGCACAUUUGAAGAGCUUCCUAGAAACACUGCAAUCUGAUUGUGGGGGAGCUACAGACAAGCUUUCUGGACUUUAAUUUAUUGCAUCCAAAUCCAAUCUAUUGAAGGCAAUAUUCUUGUUUAACUUUCCAAGUUGCUUAUUUAUCUGACCAGACUUGAGUACUAUAAGCUGUGUGUGGUACUGUUAAAGCAGUUAGACAGACCAUCAUUUCAAACUUCUAACCUGGGAAAUCUUAAUAUCAAUCCAUGAACUCAAUGAGCCUCAGUGGACCUCGGGUUCCCUCCUUCCCAUAACUCUCUAAUGGAUGGCAGAAGCUGGAAGGUGAUAAAACGCAGCUGAUCUGGGACUAGCUCCAAAUUCCUGCCACCUCUCUUAGUUGUUUUUUUCUUGGAAUUUGAACUUCUCUCUCAGGAGCUGUUUUCCUUUCAGAGCCAGUUUUCUUUUCUCUUAAUCCAUUAAUUUCUCCCCUCUCAUCAGAGACCUAAGUGUACCAUUCUCUGAUGGGUUUCUAUUUCCAGAUACUAGUCUGUGCUUACCAGGAUUUAUUUACUUACUUCUCAGGCCUUUUCUGCUUCUCUCGACUUCUUCCUAAAUCCCUGCUACAUUUUUUUUUCUCUCUUUCUGCUUUCCUGGAACCUAUGUGGCAAGGCCCACAUCUGAAGUGUCAUGACAAUAAAUCUCUCAGUUAUGCCUCCUAAAGCAUGAGUGAUAUACCCCCUUAUUUCACUGGUCUCACGUCCCAGCUAAUUCAAACUUUAGUUCUCAACUUUAAUGUCACUUAUGAGAAUAGUGUUUCCUGAUCCUCCAGAUUACAGUUGAAAACUGCUGG